rnacentral:lncRNA from 1 species
GCAAUAUUAUCUCAUUGAAUAUAUAAUGAAAUAUAAAAAAAAAAUUGAUACGAGUAAGGUAUCAUAAAUAUCUUACAUGAUCUUAUAUAAACUUCGAAUUCUAUGAGUUGUAGCAGUGGGGACUUUUGACUUCCGUAACAGUAAUUCCAUAAACAAUCAACUUAUUGUUUCAACAAAAUGGAGGUCCAUGUCCACCUCUCCCCUAUGUAUGAAAGAAAUCCACCUCUUGGUAGGUCUUAAAACUUUUCGAUUUUGUCCCUGUAAGUGAAAUUUUUUUAGGGUAUGCCCUACAUCUUUAAAAUAAAACUAAAUUGAAAAUUCAAAUGAUCCUCCCCCCCCCCC